rnacentral:rRNA from 1 species
GUGGGGAAUCUUAGACAAUGGGCGCAAGCCUGAUCUAGCCAUGCCGCGUGAGCGAUGAAGGCCUUAGGGUUGUAAAGCUCUUUCGUGGGGGAAGAUAAUGACUGUACCCCAAGAAGAAGCCCCGGCUAACUCCGUGCCAGCAGCCGCGGUAAUACGGAGGGGGCUAGCGUUGUUCGGAAUUACUGGGCGUAAAGCGCACGUAGGUGGACUGGAAAGUCAGGGGUGAAAUCCCGGGGCUCAACCCCGGAACUGCCUUUGAAACUCCCAGUCUUGAGUUCGAGAGAGGUGAGUGGAAUUCCGGGUGUAGAGGUGAAAUUCGGAGAUAUUCGGAGGAACACCAGUGGCGAAGGCGGCUCACUGGCUCGAUACUGACGCUGAGGUGCGAAAGCGUGGGGAGCAAACAGGAUUAGAUACCCCUGUAGUCC